CCUACGUGUGGCAGCAGUGAGGAAUAUUGGUCAAUGGGCGGAAGCCUGAACCAGCCAAGUAGCGUGCAGGAUGACGGCCCUACGGGUUGUAAACUGCUUUUAUACGGGAAUAACGCGCCUUACGUGUAGGGCUUUGCAUGUACCGUAUGAAUAAGGACCGGCUAAUUCCGUGCCAGCAGCCGCGGUAUUACGGAAGGUCCGGGCGUUAUCCGGAUUUAUUGGGUUUAAGGGGAGCGUAGGCCGCAUGUCAAGCGUGCUGUGAAAUGUCCGGGCUCAACCCGGGCCUUGCAGCGCGAACUGGCGGGCUGGAGUCCGCGGAAAGCAGGCGGAAUUCGUGGUGUAGCGGUGAAAUGCUUAGAUAUGACGAAGAACCCCGAUUGCGAAGGCAGCUUGCUGCAGCGGAACUGACGCUGAUGCUCGAAAGCGCGGGUAUCGAACAGGAUUAGAUACCCGAGUAGUC
rnacentral:rRNA from 1 species